UGAAUAUCUCGAAUGUGAGGUCGUCUA
rnacentral:sRNA from 1 species